rnacentral:rRNA from 1 species
GUGAACGCUGGCGGCGUGCUUAACACAUGCAAGUCGAACGGUAACAGGAAGUAGCUUGCUACUUUGCUGACGAGUGGCGCACGGGUGAGUAAACUAUAGUUAAUGUGCCUCGAAGACUGGGAUAGCCAUUGGAAACGGUGAUUAAUACUAGAUACACCUCUUUAGCUCAAGCUGAGGAGGGAAACGUUUUUUCGCUUCGAGAUCAGACUAUAUCCUAUCAGUUAGUUGGUGAGGUAAUGGCUCACCAAGGCAAUGACGGGUAGCGGUUCUGAGAGGAUGAUCCGCCACACUGGUACUGAGACACGGACCAGGCUCCUACGGGAGGCAGCAGUGAGGAAUAUUGCACAAUGGGGGGAACCCUGAUGCAGCAACGCCGCGUGGAGGAUGACGCAUUUCGGUGUGUAAACUCCUUUUAUAUGGGACGAAUUGAUGACGGUACCCUAAGAAUAAGUCACUGCUAACUUCGU